rnacentral:rRNA from 1 species
AGAAUCAACGCUGGCGGCGUGCCUAACACAUGCAAGUGGAGCGAAAGCGGCCUUCGGGCCGUGAGUAGAGUGGCAAACGGGUGAGUAUCGCGUGGGUGACCUGCCUUCGAGUGGGGGAUAACCUUCCGAAAGGAGGGCUAAUACCGCAUAACAUCCCGCCCUUGGAUGGGUGGUGAUCAAAGCCGGGGAUCGCAAGACCUGGCGCUUGUAGAGGGACCCGCGUCCGAUUAGCUUGUUGGUGGGGUAGUGGCCUACCAAGGCAUCGAUCGGUAGCCGGCCUGAGAGGGCGGACGGCCACACUGGGACUGAGACACGGCCCAGACUCCUACGGGAGGCAGCAGUGGGGAAUUGUUCGCAAUGGGCGCAAGCCUGACGACGCAACGCCGCGUGGAGGACGAAGAUCUUCGGGUUGUAAACUCCUGUCGAGCGGGACGAAUAGCGUUCGGGUGAAUACCCCGAGCGUCUGACGGUACCGCUAAAGGAAGCCCCGGCUAACUCCGUGCCAGCAGCCGCGGUAAUACGGGGGGGGCAAGCGUUGUUCGGAAUUACUGGGCGUAAAGGGCUUGUAGGCGGCCAGCCAAGUCGGACGUGAAAUCCCUCGGCUUAACCGGGGAACUGCGUCCGAUACUGGUUGGCUCGAAGCCGGGAGAGGGAUGCGGAAUUCCAGGUGUAGCGGUGAAAUGCGUAGAUAUCUGGAGGAACACCGGUGGCGAAGGCGG